rnacentral:rRNA from 1 species
AAGCGCGCGUAGGUGGUUUGUUAAGUUGGAUGUGAAAUCCCCGGGCCUCAACCUGGGAACUGCAUUCAAAACUGACUGACUAGAGUAUGGUAGAGGGUGGUGGAAUUUCCUGUGUAGCGGUGAAAUGCGUAGAUAUAGGAAGGAACACCAGUGGCGAAGGCGACCACCUGGACUGAUACUGACACUGAGGUGCGAAAGCGUGGGGAGCAAACAGGAUUAGAUACCCUAGU